ACAAACGGCACAAAUGUUUAAACUUACGAAACUAAAAAGCAAAAAAUCUAGGGUUCAUCUAACCUAUCCGAAACCAUGGAGAAGAACGAGACUCGAUCAAUCAGUGAGUUCGCAGACGAUUUGUUGCUGAAGAUGCUACACCGUCUCCCUAGCAAAAACGUCGGAGCCACGAGCGUCUUAUCAAAACGGUGGCGAUCUCUAUGGAAAGAGGUGAACACGUUCAGGUACGACGGCAGCACAGUAGGCAGAGAGUACUGGAGAUUGGCACUGUUCAUCAGCAAGCUCUCAAACCUAGAGAGCUUGGAUCUCAAGAUCAACACCUACCGUACGAACAUAUUCAUCAACUAUUUGGUUAACAUAGCAGUCGCUCGAUCUCUGAGAAAGCUCAGAGUCGACAUGUUUUGCAGCUCCUUUGAGCUGCCCAAAAGCUUGUUUAUUCAUUUGAGUCUAGACGGUUAUACUCUUGUAUUCUCAUUCAAUCUCUCUCUCUGUGUUCUCUCACUUCAUCACAGACUCCUUAUCCUUCUGAUGCUACUUCCUUCCUCUCUCUUGAACACCUAGAGAUAUGUUCAUGUUCUUCGGAGUGGUGGAAUCUACUUACCUUUAUACUCAAUGACGCUCCUAGGCUUCGAGUUCUCAAGGUCAAUUUGUUUCGGAAGCACUGUGUCCAGCGCGACGGGAUGGUUUCGUGGAACCAACCAAGUUCUGUUCCUGAAUGUUUAUCAUCAUCUCAUCUUGAGAUCUUGGAGUGGAGACAAUACAAGGGCACAAAGACAGAGAUAGAAGCUGCAAAGUACAUUCUAUGGACCAACAUGUUGGUAACACGAGAAAUGAGAAAACAAAACUUCAUAGACGGACGAUUAAAUGCGGAAAACAACAUUCUUAUUGACGUCAUCAUCAUGAACAUCUCUAUCUUCAGAAUCAUCAUCAUCACACAACUAAAACCCUCUGCAGAACUUAGACCCUUCCUUGUUGGUUACAAUCUCUUUCACACAAGUAAAACACUUGUAUUCGUCAGCCAGCUACUCAAGUACUCCACCUCCAGUUCUUCAAAAAUUCUUUAGUGUUGUCUUCUUCUUCCUUGUUCAGGUGCUUCAUCACAGUUUCACCCAUUGAACUAUUCUUCAUCACACAUCUUUUGAUAUCAAGAUUUUACCCGGAGACAAGUGUCUCCACAGCACCUGAAUCUAGGAAUGGCAAUCAAGGAUCUGGACCGCGGGCCUGGCCCAUAAAAGCUUGCUGUGGGGCGAGAUUGGACAUCCAUUUGAAGAUGAAGUUGAUGGUGAAGAAGAUAAAUCUCCAUCUUUUUAUCGCUUGUUGGUGAUCAAGAUGAAGAACAAGAAGUGUGAUUGGUGUUUUCUUUUUAUUUGUUUUUGGGAAUAGCA